GAUGAACGCUGGCGGCGUGCUUAACACAUGCAAGUCGAACGAUGAAGCCCAGCUUGCUGGGUGGAUUAGUGGCGAACGGGUGAGUAACACGUGAGUAACCUGCCCUUAACUCUGGGAUAAGCCUGGGAAACUGGGUCUAUUACCGGUUAGGAGCGUCCACCGCAUGGUGGGUGUUGGAGAGAUUAUCGGUUUUGGAUGGACUCGGGGCCUAUCGGCUUGUUGGUGAGGUAAUGGCUAACCAAGGCGACGUCGGGUAGCCGGCCUGGGAGGGGGACCGGCCACACUGGGACUGAGACACGGCCCAGACUCGUACGGGAGGCAGCAGUGGGGAAUAUUGCACAAUGGGCGCAAGCCUGAUGAAGCGACGCCGCGUGAGGGAUGACGGCCUUCGGGUUGUAAACCUCUUUCAGUAGGGAAGAAGCGAAAGUGACGGUACCUGCAGAAGAAGCACCGGCUAACUACGUG
rnacentral:rRNA from 1 species